rnacentral:rRNA from 1 species
GUGUCAGCAGCCGCGGUAAUACGUAGGGUCCGAGCGUUGUCCGGAAUUAUUGGGCGUAAAGGGCUCGUAGGCGGUUUGUCGCGUCGGGAGUGAAAACUUGGGGCUUAACCCCAUUCGUGCUUCCGAUACGGGCAGACUAGAGGCAGGCAGGGGAGAACGGAAUUCCUGGUGUAGCGGUGGAAUGCGCAGAUAUCAGGAGGAACACCGGUGGCGAAGGCGGUUCUCUGGGCCUGUUCUGACGCUGAGGAGCGAAAGCAUGGGGAGCGAACAGGAUUAGAUACCCGCGUAGUCC